CUGGAUUCAUACCUUAUUGUUUCAGAUUACAACCUGAAUGUAUUCAGGAUAUGAGCCAUUCUGUAUGUUGAUGUCCCUUGAAGAAGAUUCACAAAAUUUCAGCUAUUGACUGCAGAAUGAUGCUGCUGGUUGUACUCAACGGAUCUUAUUUCUCAGUAGAUGUAUAUGGUUACAUUAUAAACUGUUCUUCCUAAAUUAUUGCUUAAAAUUACUAAUUGGAGAAACCUUAUUUAAAACUAUUGUCUAGUUUUAACGUUUGGUGCUUUCUGUUGUUGUUUCAAACUGUGGCCAAAGUCCUCCUGCAUAGUUACACUGGGAAAAGGAAGACAUCAUAAUUUCCACCAGCAAACAGCUACUAAUUAACAAGUGCCCAUUGGGAUUCCUGGUCAUGCACCAAGUCACCCAACUAGUGCACAAUGAGGAAUUUAAGCAGGAACUUCUUAAAUAGAUCAGACACUUUAAAGACUAACUGCUGUAUUUUAAGGUGAACUUUCAUAGAUCCAGUCCUCUUCCUCAGACUUAUUAAAUGGAGACAAUUAACUACUAGGAGUUACACCUUGUUUUCUCCCACUGGUGCAACAAAGCAAGAAGAAUUUGGCCUUUAAUAAAGCAGUAUUUAAAUCCUGUUAAUGAAGUCCCAUUCAUUCCAUCUUGCUCCUGCUACAGAUUUUCUAUUCCACCCAAUAGAUGAGCAAUAGCACCCUCCUCCCCAAACCCAAGACAAAUGGCAGACUGAAAUGAAUCCAGAAUGACAGUACUAUGAGCAUCAUAAUAGUGGCUAACAGUCAGUGUGAGGUCAUGAGAUUCUUACAUUCUGUUACAUAGGCCAUUGUCAGUUAGUGAUAUGAGUAAAGAAGGUCACAUAUUGCUAGCAUUAUUUGGAUAUGAUGACCAAGAAACAUGACCAAUUGAAGAGAACGCUGGAGUGUUACCAUGGUUGGUGCACUCGUCAAGCUCUCAUCAGCACAUCUGACAAUCACAUACAGUAUGGCGAGGCACAAAUGAAUGCAAUUAUGGCAGCCCUACAGCUAGAACCAAACAGGCAUCUAUCACCUCCGAAGAUAAGGAUCUGCAAAUGGGACAAGCUUGCAAGCAGCUGUCAGAAGUAGCCAUAUAAGUUUGCAGCUGGGCUUAGCAGUCAACACCUUUUCAUCAAAAAGCUGCCCCUUUUGACUGCUCCAUUGCUUUGAGGAUGUUCAUGUUUAAUAAUCCAUGCAUGCGAUCCCUUUUGCCUACCAAUUACUCUGCGAAAGUACACCACAUUACUCCUAACAUUGCCCCCAGACCUGCCUAUUGUCUUCCAAAACACCACCUUGCCCUUUUGUUGUUGCUGUUUAGUUUUUUAGACGUGUCCGACUCUUCAUGACCCCAUGGACCAGAACCAUAAGUCUGCAGCUUGGCUUAGUGGUCUAGGGGAGGAUUAAUCAACACCUUUUCAUCAAAAAGUUGCGCUUUUGUCCACUCCAUUGCUUUGAGAAUGUUCAUGUUUAACAAUCCAGGGAUGAGAUCCCUUUUGCCUACCAAUUACUCUGUGAAAGUACACAUUACUCCUAACAUUGCCCCCAGUCCUGCCUAUUGUAUUCCAAAACACCACCUUGCCCUUUUCUUGUUGCUGUUUAGUCGUUUAGACGUGUCCGACUCUUCAUGACCCCAAGGACCAGAGCAUGACAGGCCCUCCUGUCUUCCACUGCCUCCCGGAGUUGGGUCAAAUUCAUGCUGGUAGCUUCGAUGACACUGUCCAACCAUCUCAUCCUCUGUCGCCCCUUCUCCUCUUUCCUUCACACUUUCCUAACUUCAGCAUCUUUUCCAGGGAGUCUUCUCUUCUCAUGAGAUGACCAA
ensembl:lncRNA